AUGAUUCUUAGUUAAUCUUCAUUCAACCAUGGGUUGUUUUUGUUAUGCAAAAAAAUAAGUAAAACUUAGGUUGAAUAAACUUAAGUUUUUUUAUUUUAGUUAAGAAAAAUAGACAAGUGGUGGUAGUCCGCCACUCUAAGGGGACGCCUUUAGAAGAAGAGGCUAGGAGAGGUAUUCCGGUGUGGGAUAUCUAGUAAUAUGCAGCGCUAAAUGCAUAAGAUUGUAGGACGGAAUUUACAGUCUUGGUUUUUUAAACCUGAAACUAGAUAAGC
rnacentral:sRNA from 12 species